CCUACGGGUGGCUGCAGUGGGGAAUAUUGGACAAUGGGGGGAACCCUGAUCCAGCCAUGCCGCGUGUGUGAAGAAGGCCCUCGGGUUGUAAAGCACUUUCAGUGAGGAAGAACGCCUGGUGGUUAAUACCCAUCAGGAAAGACAUCACUCACAGAAGAAGCACCGGCUAACUCCGUGCCAGCAGCCGCGGUAAUACGGAGGGUGCGAGCGUUAAUCGGAAUUACUGGGCGUAAAGCGCGCGUAGGUGGCUUGAUAAACCGGUUGUGAAAGCCCCGGGCUCAACCUGGGAACGGCAUCCGGAACUGUCAAGCUAGAGUGCAGGAGAGGAAGGUAGAAUUCCCGGUGUAGCGGUGAAAUGCGUAGAGAUCGGGAGGAAUACCAGUGGCGAAGGCGGCCUUCUGGACUGACACUGACACUGAGGUGCGAAAGCGUGGGUAGCAAACAGGAUUAGAUACCCCUGUAGUC
rnacentral:rRNA from 1 species